rnacentral:rRNA from 1 species
GACGAACGCUGGCGGCGUGCCUAAUACAUGCAAGUAGAACGCUGAAGGAGGAGCUUGCUUCUCCGGAUGAGUUGCGAACGGGUGAGUAACGCGUAGGUAACCUGCCUGGUAGGGGGGGAUAACUAUUGGAAACGAUAGCUAAUACCGCAUAAGAGUAGAUGUUGCAUGACGUUUGCUUAAAAGGUGCAUUUGCAUCACUACUAGGUGGACCUGCGUUGUAUUAGCUAGUUGGUGGGGUAACGGCUUACCAAGGCGACGAUACAUAGCCGACCUGAGAGGGGGAUCGGCCACACUGGGACUGAGACACGGCCCAGACUCCUACGGGAGGCAGCAGUAGGGGAUCUUCGGAAAUGGACGGAAGUCUGACCGAGCAACGCCGCGUGAGUGAAGAAGGUUUUCGGGUCGUAAAGCUCUGUUGUAAGAGAAGAACGAGUGUGAGAGUGGAAAGUUCACACUGUGACGGUACCUAACCAGAAAGCGACGGCUAACUACGUG